rnacentral:tRNA from 1 species
AGAAGACCCGGCUAAAACCCUGACUUGAACUCAGGAAUAGGGCGUUCAACUCGCCCGUCUUCUU